AAUCUCUCCUUUGAUGAGACUGUGGCUGAUGCUCUAUACCAGUGAUCCAUGGAUUCCCUGCUUGAUUACACAGAACAGGGCAGGAAAUUAUCCAACUUGCAAGAGAAUGCUAGCUGAAAAUCGUCCCAUCUUAUGGAAAACCGGUAGAAAAUCCAGGAGGUGAAAUGGAGAACAUGUUCAACUGGAGAAUUCUAUUUCUUAUGCAUGUCAAAUAUGUUUCCUUCUCCUGCACUAGCUGUUCCUUCUGCUGGAAGAAUAUUUAUAUGACUGGCUAAACUUACUGUUCAGAUCUGAGAGUAAAUUUGCAUUUCUCAGAGAGUUAGUUCCUGACCACCCAACUCAAAGUACUAACACUCUAUCUAGUCCUUUUCUUGUUUGUUUUUCAUGUUUAUUUUAUUUCCCACCACUAGAAUCUAAGCUUUUUGAGAGCCGGCACUUUGUCCAUCUGGGUCACUGAAUCCCAAUGAGUUAUUCACAGAUGUUUUUAGUACAUAGUAGGUGAAAUGCAUAGAUAAUAUUUCAACUAAGAAAGUGAACAGAAGAAAGUUGGUCAUUGACUUAUUACUAGUAGCUCACUACUCUCUAUGUAUGAAGACAUCACUUACUGAUGGUUAUGAAGCAGAUGCUCAAUAAUUUUUUUUUAAUAAACAGGAGGGCAAGGAGCCAAUGUCGUUUGUAGUGGAGGGUAGUCAUGGACACUGAGAGUAUGUUUUAGACACAAUUUAUCAAUGGCCAGCCUCAGGCUGAGAUAAAAUAUAACAGAGUUUGCCAAGGUCUUUCAUGCCCAGGCAGUCAGUGCUCACAUGUUCCCUGUAACUGCCUGGGUACCUUUCCCUGAGUCAUCAGUCCUGUGUCUUAAUUCUUUUAGUAGCACCUGCAUUCUGCUCCUUUAACCUUCCAUCAAUCAGCUCUUAUAUACUGUACAUCUCUUUCUCAAGAAGCCUUGUGCAACGCAUGGUGAUUUCAACAGUGAUGAAUAUUUCCUUCCCUCUGACUUCUUAUGAAACCAGGAUAAUGAAGCAAAUUAGAAUGUAUUUUAACAUCACUCUCCCUUGUUUGCUGUCCAGCUAAUGAACAGUGGACUGGCUGAAGAAAGACCAGCAUGAAGCAGAAAAAUUGUUUGGUGAAAAAUUCAAGAAUGGGCCAAUAUCCAUUAAAAGAUUGAAAGAGGAGAUGUUUUGGGUCCACCUCCACUGGGGACAGAAAUUCCAUUCUGCCAACACCCCCUCCAUAUCCAUUGUCUGAAAGAGGCACUGCUGUUGAGUCAUAAGUAGGCUCCAGUGGCCCAUGUUGACCCUUUGAAAUUCCCAUGGGACUGUCAAUUCUAUCUAUUCUGGGAGCAGCCAACCAUAGCUAAUUACAGGCCUGUGGUAUUAGUGGAACAAGCUUCAGCUUUUUACAUUGGCUUGAUGGAGAACUGAGUAGAUAUAAAAGUGUUACAUGUUUUUCUGUAAUCAUAAUAACGUAAUCUUGUUUCAUAAUCAUUAAUAAUUCCUAACAUUUAUUGAAGAGUUAAUAUGUGUUGAGUAUUUUUGUAAGUGCUUAACAUGCAGUUUUUAAAAUUUUAACUCCUUUUUACAGAAAAGGUUUACAGAACGCCAGAGGGGUAGGUGAUUUUGCCAGAGCUCUUUUAGGUAAUAGGAAACAAAGCCAUAAAUUUGAUCCCAGCUAGUUUGACCCCAUAGUCCAAGCAUUAAUCCCUGAACCACACUAGCUCUGGCAAGGGUAUAAAUGAGCAGUGAUUACUAACUGACUUAAAACACAAUAGGAAUUAUCCCCAGUGAAUUCCAACAUAUAAAGGGACACUAAUUCUUGCCAUAGAAAAUCUAUUUGAUAAGUAUGAACAAGAAUUCCAAGGUUAUCAAAAAUAAUUUCUAAUAGUUUAAUUCUUUAAAAGAAAUGGUGUAUCUCAUGGACACAGGAAGGGGAACAUCACACUCCGGGGACUGUUGUUGGGUGGGGGGAGCGGGGAGGGAGAGCAUUAGGAGAUAUACCUAAUGCUAAAUGACAAGUUAAUGGGUGCAGCACACCAACGUGGCACAUGUAUACAUAUGUAACAAACCUGCACAU
rnacentral:lncRNA from 1 species